rnacentral:rRNA from 1 species
UACGUAGGGGGCGAGCGUUGUCCGGAGUUACUGGCGUAAAGGGCGUGCAGGCGGUGGUGCGCGUUUUGUGUGACAGCGCAAGGCUUAACUUUGCGAGGAUACGAAAGACGGCAGCACUUGAGAGCGCGGAGAGGGACACGGAAUUCCGGGUGGAGUGGUGAAAUGCGUAGAGAUCCGGAGGAACACCGAAGGCGAAGGCAGGUGUCCUGGCGCGCAUCUGACGCUGAGGCGCGAAAGCCAGGGGAGCGAACGGG